UUAAGCGAACAAGCGUACACGGUGGAUGCCCUGGCAGUCAGAGGCGAUGAAGGACGUGCUAAUCUGCGAAAAGCGCCGGUAAGGUGAUAUGAACCGUUAUAACCGGCGAUGUCCGAAUGGGGAAACCCGGUGCACUUCGGUGCAUCAUCGUUAGCUGAAUACAUAGGCUAACGAGGCGAACCGGGGGAACUGAAACAUCUAAGUACCCCGAGGAAAAGAAAUCAACCGAGAUUCCCCCAGUAGCGGCGAGCGAACGGGGAACAGCCCAGAGCCUGAAUCAGCUUGUGUGUCAGUGGAACGGUCUGGAAAGGCCGGCGAUACAGGGUGACAGCCCCGUACACGAAGGCACACAGGCUGUGAGCUCGAUGAGUAGGGCGGGACACGUGAUAUCCUGUCUGAAGAUGGGGGGACCAUCCUCCAAGGCUAAAUACUCCUGACUGACCGAUAGUGAACCAGUACCGUGAGGGAAAGGCGAAAAGAACCCCGGCGAGGGGAGUGAAACAGAACCUGAAACCGUGUACGUACAAGCAGUGGGAGCCUUCGUAAGAGGGUGACUGCGUACCUUUUGUAUAAUGGGUCAGCGACUUAUAUUCUGUAGCAAGGUUAACCGUAUAGGGGAGCCGAAGGGAAACCGAGUCUUAACCGGGCGUUAAGUUGCAGGGUAUAGACCCGAAACCCGGUGAUCUAGCCAUGGGCAGGUUGAAGGUUGGGUAACACUAACUGGAGGACCGAACCGACUAAUGUUGAAAAAUUAGCGGAUGACCUGUGGCUGGGGGUGAAAGGCCAAUCAAACCGGGAGAUAGCUGGUUCUCCCCGAAAGCUAUUUAGGUAGCGCCUCGUGAACUCAUCUCCGGGGGUAGAGCACUGUUUCGGCUAGGGGGCCAUCCCGGCUUACCAACCCGAUGCAAACUGCGAAUACCGGAGAAUGUUAUCACGGGAGACACACGGCGGGUGCUAACGUCCGUCGUGAAGAGGGAAACAACCCAGACCGCCAGCUAAGGUCCCAAAGUCAUGGUUAAGUGGGAAACGAUGUGGGAAGGCCCAGACAGCCAGGAUGUUGGCUUAGAAGCAGCCAUCAUUUAAAGAAAGCGUAAUAGCUCACUGGUCGAGUCGGCCUGCGCGGAAGAUGUAACGGGGCUAAACCAUGCACCGAAGCUGCGGCAGCGACGCUUAUGCGUUGUUGGGUAGGGGAGCGUUCUGUAAGCCUGCGAAGGUGUGCUGUGAGGCAUGCUGGAGGUAUCAGAAGUGCGAAUGCUGACAUAAGUAACGAUAAAGCGGGUGAAAAGCCCGCUCGCCGGAAGACCAAGGGUUCCUGUCCAACGUUAAUCGGGGCAGGGUGAGUCGACCCCUAAGGCGAGGCCGAAAGGCGUAGUCGAUGGGAAACAGGUUAAUAUUCCUGUACUUGGUGUUACUGCGAAGGGGGGACGGAGAAGGCUAUGUCGGCCGGGCGACGGUUGUCCCGGUUUAAGCGUGUAGGCUGACUUUCCAGGCAAAUCCGGAAAGUUAAGGCUGAGGCGUGAUGACGAGGCACCACGGUGCUGAAGUGACAAAUGCCCUGCUUCCAGGAAAAGCCUCUAAGCAUCAGGUAACAUCAAAUCGUACCCCAAACCGACACAGGUGGUCAGGUAGAGAAUACCAAGGCGCUUGAGAGAACUCGGGUGAAGGAACUAGGCAAAAUGGUGCCGUAACUUCGGGAGAAGGCACGCUGACAUGUAGGUGAAGCCCCUGCGGGUGGAGCUGAAGUCAGUCGAAGAUACCAGCUGGCUGCAACUGUUUAUUAAAAACACAGCACUGUGCAAACACGAAAGUGGACGUAUACGGUGUGACGCCUGCCCGGUGCCGGAAGGUUAAUUGAUGGGGUUAUCGCAAGAGAAGCUCCUGAUCGAAGCCCCGGUAAACGGCGGCCGUAACUAUAACGGUCCUAAGGUAGCGAAAUUCCUUGUCGGGUAAGUUCCGACCUGCACGAAUGGCGUAAUGAUGGCCAGGCUGUCUCCACCCGAGACUCAGUGAAAUUGAACUCGCUGUGAAGAUGCAGUGUACCCGCGGCAAGACGGAAAGACCCCGUGAACCUUUACUACAGCUUGACACUGAACAUUGAGCCUUGAUGUGUAGGAUAGGUGGGAGGCUUUGAAGCGUGGACGCCAGUCUGCGUGGAGCCGACCUUGAAAUACCACCCUUUAAUGUUUGAUGUUCUAACCUGGCGCCAUAAUCUGGCGUGGGGACAGUGUCUGGUGGGUAGUUUGACUGGGGCGGUCUCCUCCCAAAGUGUAACGGAGGAGCACGAAGGUCAGCUAAUCCUGGUCGGACAUCAGGAGGUUAGUGCAAUGGCAUAAGCUGGCUUGACUGCGAGAGUGACGGCUCGAGCAGGUGCGAAAGCAGGUCAUAGUGAUCCGGUGGUUCUGUAUGGAAGGGCCAUCGCUCAACGGAUAAAAGGUACUCCGGGGAUAACAGGCUGAUACCGCCCAAGAGUUCAUAUCGACGGCGGUGUUUGGCACCUCGAUGUCGGCUCAUCACAUCCUGGGGCUGAAGUAGGUCCCAAGGGUAUGGCUGUUCGCCAUUUAAAGUGGUACGCGAGCUGGGUUUAGAACGUCGUGAGACAGUUCGGUCCCUAUCUGCCGUGGGCGCUGGAGAAUUGAGGGGGGCUGCUCCCAGUACGAGAGGACCGGAGUGGACGCAUCACUGGUGUUCGGGUUGUCAUGCCAAUGGCACUGCCCGGUAGCUAAAUGCGGAAGAGAUAAGUGCUGAAAGCAUCUAAGCACGAAACUUGCCCCGAGAUGAGUUCUCCCUGAGACUAUAAGUCUCCUGAAGGAACGUUGAAGACGACGACGUUGAUAGGCCGGGUGUGUAAGCGCAGCGAUGCGUUGAGCUAACCGGUACUAAUGAACCGUGAGGCUUAACCUU
rnacentral:rRNA from 2 species